rnacentral:lncRNA from 1 species
UCCCAGGCCAGGGGUCCAAUCGGAGGAGCAGAAGCUGCCGGCCUACGCCAGAGCCACAGCAACGCGGGAUCUGAGGCUCAUCUGCGACCCACACCACAGCUCACGGCAACGCCAGAUCCCCAACCCACUGAGCGGGGCCAGGGAUCGAACCCACAACCUCAUAGUUCCUAGUCGGAUUCGUUAACCACUGAGCCAUGAUGGAAACUCCUGAAAUGCUUUAUUUUCUUGAAGGAUGGUGAUUAAAUGGGUAUUACGUACUUGUCAAGAUUCAUUGAAUGGUACACAUAAAAUAUGUGUUGAUUGGAGUUCCCGUUGUGGCUCAUGGGUUACAAACCCAACUAGUAUCCAUAAGGAUUUGGGUUUAAUCCCUGGCCUUGUUCAGUAGGUUAAGGAUCCAGUGUUCCCAUAAGCUGUGGUGUAGGUUGCAGAUGCAGCUUGGUUCCUGCGUUGCUGUGGCUGGAGCAGGCUGGCAGCUGCAGCUCUGAUUGGACCCCUAACCUGGGAACUGAAUUCUGUAUGCUGCAGGUGUGGCCCUAAAAAACAAAGCAAAACAAAACAAAAAACAAAAAACCCACAUUACACAAUAUUUUCAUCAAAUAUUUUGUUAAACUCUGAAAUAAAACCAAAUAUUACUUUUUAAAGUCGUAUGUCAAAAAGCAAACCUUUAAAACACAGAAUGAAUAAAAAACAUUUUUAAGCUUAUAAGUGAAGGAAGAAAUCAAAACAAGACAAAAUGUGUCUACAGAAGAAUGAAAAAUAAGUUUUGUAUGUUUAAUGAUAAAAGCAAAAUUAGGAGGCAAACAACAAACUGGAAGAAUGUUCACAGCAGAGUUUUGUUUUAUACAGUGAGCACAUACUCAUGUUUUUUAGAAAAUUUUAUAAUUUAUUAAGAAAAAACCUUUUAAGUACAAUAAGCAGAUAGACAAAAUUUUUUAUGAGUUAACAGAAUUUUAAAAAUGGAAAUAAAAAUGGUCAAUAAGCAUAUGCAAAAAGUUCAAAACUAAUUACAACAAAAAUGCAAAUUAAAAUGAGAUACCAUUUUUAUUUUUCUUUUUUCUUUUUGCUUUUCAGGGCCACACCCGGAGCAUACGGAAGUUCCUAGGCUAGGGUUGAAUUCAAUGCCAGAUCUGAGCCUAGUCUACAACCUACACUGCAGCUCAUGGCAAUGCCAGAUCCUUAACCCACUGAGCGAGGCCAGGGAUCAAACCUGAAUCCUCGUGGAUACUAGUCAGAUUCAUUACCAUUGAGCCACAACGGGAACUCCCCAUAUUUCGAUUUAGCUAAGAUUUUCCUCUUUCAGUUAAAAUACCCAGUCCUGGGGAGGGCAGGGUGCGACAGACGCACGGCAAAUGGUCAGGUGAUGCAGUGUAAACAUGUAUUUGCUUUUUAGGAACCAAAUGAGGACUAAGCACUGUGAGAAGGUACUGCAGCUGGGUGGAAGUGGGGCCCAGAUGUUUGGGAGUGGUGAGUGUGAGGUGAAACAAGAGCCCACCCACCUCGAGCCUCUAACUACAUGAGAACUAUUUUUUGUAUUAAAAGAAGAAACACAAAGUAUUCCCCCUACUUUUUCUGUUGGGGGGUGGGUGUGGCAUGGGUAGGGUUCCCUGAAGAUAAGGUACAACCAUAACCAGGAAGAUGGACAUGGGUUUGGGGCCUCCCUGGGAGGGGGCUGAAGACCAACACCUGCGCAGCCCUGUCCUGAAGGACAAGGGCACUCUGGGCUGCUAGUCCCCCAUGCAGCUCUGCCACUCUCCCCAAGGCAGGGCGCUGGCCCUGGGGCUCAGUGGUGGGCACAGCAGAAGCAGCCUGAAAUGGCCAUGGAAAAGGCAAGGCGCAGCCCAGCAUGUAGAACAUGGCUGCGCCUGGGUGACAACCAAACAAUGACAACAAGAUGAAGUAUAUUUUAUGUAGUAGCUAUGACUAUAAAAGCCUAAGAAAAGGUAAGGCUGGAGACACACACCAAAAUGAGUUGCUAAGGGACUUAAAACCGUUCCUAGCACAUUGUAAGAGCUCAAGGAAAAAACAUUUUUGUUUCUUUUUUGGCUGCACCCAUGGCAUAUGGAAGUUCCUGGGCUAAGGAAUGAACCUGAGUUACAACUGGGACCUACACUACAGCCGCGGCAAUGCAGGAUCCUUAACCCACUGUGCUGGGCUGGGGAUCGGAACCUGCGCUGCCAGAAAGACAAGGCUGGAUCAUUAACCCAUUGCUUUACAAUGGGAACUCCCAAGGAAAUAUUUUAAAGAUAAUACUCUAAGGAAAGAAAAGACUCAAACUACGCAAAAAGUCUUAAUAUACAACCUAUCCUUGUUCAGAAGGGUUUAAAAGGGGUGAAACAUCUCACAGGGUAUAAUUUCCAGGUGGCUGCUGCUUGGGGCCUGACCCUUUGCUUCUGCAGGUUCAAAUGCACAUGGAGAGAGAGUUUCCGCCUUUCUGGGAUGGGACCUGCAGUAUCAGUGUUUACAAACUUUACCGGUGAGAGGUGUAUCUAUCAUGCAGACUGAAUCCUCAUCAACACAGUGGCAGCAUUUUCUCCCCGUAGGCAGAUUUUCGCUCAUUCAUUUAAUAAGCAUAAGCAUGUACUAUGAUCCUAGGCCCUAGAGAUCCAGCAGUAAAUAAAACAAAAACACCUUUCCUCAUUGUUUUCAUGAAGUUGAUGUUUUAGUGAGAAGGCAGGCAACAAAUAAAUAUACAAUGUCGAUUGGUUGUAAGUGCUAAGAAAAAUUAUGCUAGCUAAGGAGGUAAGAAAUACGUAGCAAAGACCACCACUGUCCUCAAGUGGAGAACUAACCAGGAAACAAUUCUCAAACAGAAAUCAGACCCACGGAGUUCCCAUCAUGGCUUGGAGGCAACGCAUCUGACUGGCAUCCAUGAGGACGCAGGUUCGAUCACUGGCUUCGUUCAGUGGGUUAAAGAUCCAGCGUUGCAGUGAUGUGUGGUAUAGGUUGCAGAUGCGGCUCAGAUCUGGUGUUGCUAUGGCUGAGGUGUAGGCCAGCGUCUAUAGCUCUGAUUCGACCCCUAGCUUGGGAACCUCCAUAUGCCUUGGGUACAGUCCUAAAGAAACAAAACAAAACAAACAAACAAAAAAAAUCAAAUCCUCAAUAGUGCUGUGCUCAGGGAUUGAUGUGACCUCCUCAUUGAUGGAGGUCAAGGAAGGCUUCUGAGAAGAGGAGCAUGACCUGAAUCCAAUAGGAAAUUGAGCAGACAAAACAGGGUGUGUGUGUGUGUGUGCGCGUGUGCGGGCGCACACGCGCACACACACUUACAACUCAGAGAGCAGAUGCAAAGUUGUGGAAAGGAUAAAGAGCACAUGAUCAAUGACAACAAAAUAACAACAUAUAGUGGACAAACAAAACUAGGUGGAUCUGUUCCAUUUGGAAGGCCCUGGAGGGCCUUAAAGAAGUGGGAAACGAGCACACCUGUAAGCACAUGUGCCUGUGCACAUACACACACUUGCAGUAGCCAUCUGCUAUUUUCGCCUAAGGACCUCUGUACUUCCCCAUCCCACACAGUGACAGAGGGGCACUUUACUCCAUUCCAAACGUGGGCCUGUGAUACAGGUCUAGCCAAU